rnacentral:tRNA from 1 species
GGAGAUGUAGCUUAGUGCUAGGGCAUUUGCCUAACACAACAGGUCCCUGGGCUUGAUCCCUAGCAUCUCCC